rnacentral:rRNA from 1 species
CCUGGCUCAGGACGAACGCUGGCGGCGUGCCUAAUACAUGCCAGUAGAACGCUGAAGCGUGGUGCUUGCACCGAGCGGAUGAGUUGCGAACGGGUGAGUAACGCGUAGGUAACCUGCCUGGUAGCGGGGGAUAACUAUUGGAAACGAUAGCUACUACCGCAUAACAGUAGAUGUCGCAUGACAUUUGCUUAAAAGGUGCAAUUGCAUCACUACCAGAUGGACCUGCGUUGUAUUAGCGAGUUGGUGAGGUAACGGCUCACCAAGGCGACGAUACAUAGCCGACCUGAGAGGGGGAGCGGCCAAGCUGGGACUGAGACACGGCCCAGACGCCUACGG